rnacentral:rRNA from 1 species
GAUGAACGCUGGCGGCGUGCUUAACACAUGCAAGUCGAACGGAAAGGCCCAAGAUUGCUUGGGUACUCGAGUGGCGAACGGGUGAGUAACACGUGGGUGAUCUGCCCUGCACUUCGGGAUAAGCCUAGGAAACUGGGUCUAAUACCGGAUAGGACCACUUCGUAGUUGUUGUGGUGGAAAGCUUUUUCGGUGUGGGAUGAGCUCGCGGCCUAUCAGGUUGUUGGUGGGGUAAUGGCCUACCAAGGCGUCGACGGGUAUCCGGCCUGCGUGGGUGUACGGCCACAGUAGGACUGUGGUACGGCGCAGACUCCUACGGGCGGCAGCAGGGGGGAGUAUGUCACAACGUGCGGAAGCCUGAUGUAGCGACGCCGCGUGGGGGAUGACGGCCUUCGGUUGUUAAUAUCUUUUCGAAAAAGACGAAUUUAGGACAGUAAUUGGAGAAGAAGCAACGGCUAACUACGUG